rnacentral:rRNA from 1 species
AGAUUGAACGCUAGCGGGAUGCUUUACACAUGCAAGUCGAACGGCAGCGCGGACUUCGGUCUGGCGGCGAGUGGCGAACGGGUGAGUAAUAUAUCGGAACGUGCCCAGUAGCGGGGGAUAACUACGCGAAAGCGUGGCUAAUACCGCAUACGCCCGUACGGGGGAAAGGGGGGAUUCUUCGGAACCUCUCAC